rnacentral:rRNA from 1 species
ACUCCUACGGGAGGCAGCAGUGGGGAAUAUUGCACAAUGGGCGCAAGCCUGAUGCAGCCAUGCCGCGUGUGUGAAGAAGGCCUUCGGGUUGUAAAGCACUUUCAGUCGUGAGGAAGGUAGUGUAGUUAAUAGCUGCAUUAUUUGACGUUAGCGACAGAAGAAGCACCGGCUAACUCCGUGCCAGCAGCCGCGGUAAUACGGAGGGUGCGAGCGUUAAUCGGAAUUACUGGGCGUAAAGCGCAUGCAGGUGGUUGUUAAGUCAGAUGUGAAAGCCCGGGGCUCAACCUCGGAAUAGCAUUUGAAACUGGCAGACUAGAGUACUGUAGAGGGGGUAGAAUUUCAGGUGUAGCGGUGAAAUGCGUAGAGAUCUGAAGGAAUACCGGUGGCGAAGGCGGCCCCUGGACAGAUACUGACACUCAGAUGCGAAAGCGUGGGAGCAAACAGGAUUAGAUACCCCUGGUAGACUGUCA